AUACUGCAAGUCGAGCGGACAGAAGGGAGCUUGCUCCCGGAUGUUAGCGGCGGACGGGUGAGUAACACGUGGGUAACCUGCCUGUAAGACUGGGAUAACUCCGGGAAACCGGAGCUAAUACCGGAUAGUUCCUUGAACCGCAUGGUUCAAGGAUGAAAGACGGUUUCGGCUGUCACUUACAGAUGGACCCGCGGCGCAUUAGCUAGUUGGUGGGGUAAUGGCUCACCAAGGCGACGAUGCGUAGCCGACCUGAGAGGGUGAUCGGCCACACUGGGACUGAGACACGGCCCAGACUCCUACGGGAGGCAGCAGUAGGGAAUCUUCCGCAAUGGACGAAAGUCUGACGGAGCAACGCCGCGUGAGUGAUGAAGGUUUUCGGAUCGUAAAGCUCUGUUGUUAGGGAAGAACAAGUGCGAGAGUAACUGCUCGCACCUUGACGGUACCUAACCAGAAAGCCACGGCUAACUACGUGCCAGCAGCCGCGGUAAUACGUAGGUGGCAAGCGUUGUCCGGAAUUAUUGGGCGUAAAGGGCUCGCAGGCGGUUUCUUAAGUCUGAUGUGAAAGCCCCCGGCUCAACCGGGGAGGGUCAUUGGAAACUGGGAAACUUGAGUGCAGAAGAGGAGAGUGGAAUUCCACGUGUAGCGGUGAAAUGCGUAGAGAUGUGGAGGAACACCAGUGGCGAAGGCGACUCUCUGGUCUGUAACUGACGCUGAGGAGCGAAAGCGUGGGGAGCGAACAGGAUUAGAUACCCUGGUAGUCCACGCCGUAAACGAUGAGUGCUAAGUGUUAGGGGGUUUCCGCCCCUUAGUGCUGCAGCUAACGCAUUAAGCACUCCGCCUGGGGAGUACGGUCGCAAGACUGAAACUCAAAGGAAUUGACGGG
rnacentral:rRNA from 1 species